AUUGAACGCUGGCGGCAUGCUUUACACAUGCAAGUCGAACGGUAACAGGCCGCAAGGUGCUGACGAGUGGCGAACGGGUGAGUAAUGCAUCGGAACGUGCCCAGUCGUGGGGGAUAACGCAGCGAAAGCUGCGCUGAUACCGCAUACGAUCUAUGGAUGAAAGCGGGGGACCGUAAGGCCUCGCGCGAUUGGAGCGGCCGAUGUCAGAUUAGGUAGUUGGUGGGGUAAAGGCUCACCAAGCCAACGAUCUGUAGCUGGUCUGAGAGGACGACCAGCCACACUGGGACUGAGAGACGGCCCAGACUCCUACGGGAGGCAGCAGUGGGGAAUUUUGGACAAUGGGCGCAAGCCUGAUCCAGCAAUGCCGCGUGCAGGAAGAAGGCCUUCGGGUUGUAAACUGCUUAUGUACGGAACGAAACGGUCCUGGUUAAUACCUGGGGCUAAUGACGGUACCGUAAGAAUAAGCACCGGCUAACUACGUGCCAGCCGCCGCAGUAAAAC
rnacentral:rRNA from 1 species